UGGUGGAGCGAUUUGUCUGGUUAAUUCCGAUAACGAACGAGACUCUAGCCUGCUAAAUAGACGGGCGAUCCCUUGUGGGUCGAUCCGAUUUGCUUCCUAGCCACGCGAAAUUGAGCAAUAACA
rnacentral:rRNA from 1 species